UACGAAGGGGGCGAGCGUUGUUCGGAUUUACUGGGCGUAAAGGGCGCGUAGGCGGCCUUGCAAGUCGGUUGGUGAAAGCCCGGGGCUCAACCCCGGAGGUGCGGCCGAGACUGCAGGCUGGAGGCCGGAAGAGGAGGGUGGAAUACCCAGUGUAGAGGUGAAAUUCGUAGAUAUUGGGUGGAACACCGGUGGCGAAAGCGGCUCUCUGGUCCGGACCUGACGCUGAGGCGCGAAAGCGUGGGGAGCAACAGG
rnacentral:rRNA from 1 species